rnacentral:rRNA from 1 species
CAAGUCGAGUGCGCGCCUGUAGCAAUACAGGUGGCGCACGGCGCACGGGUGCGUAACACGUGGGUAAUCUGCCCUUCGAUGGGGAAUAACUCGCCGAAAGGCGAGCUAAUUCCGCAUAACAUUCCGAGAACUUUGGUUUUUGGAUUCAAAGGCGUAAGUCGUCGGAGGAGGAGCCCGCGCACGAUUAGCUAGUUGGUGAGGUAAUGGCUCACCAAGGCUAUGAUCGUUAGCUGGUCUGAGAGGAUGGCCAGCCACACUGGAACUGAGACACGGUCCAGACUCCUACGGGAGGCAGCAGUGGGGAAUCUUGCACAAUGGGCGAAAGCCUGAUGCAGCGACGCCGCGUGGGGGAUGAAGCUUUUCGGAGUGUAAACCCCUUUCGACCCGGACGAAUGCCCCGCAAGGGGACUGACGGUACGGGUAUAAGAAGCCCCGGCUAACUACGUGCCAGCAGCCGCGGUAAGACGUAGGGGGCCAGCGUUGCUCGGAAUUACUGGGUGUAAAGGGUUCGUAGGCGGUGUGGCAAGUCGGGAGUGAAAUCUCUGGGCUCAACCCAGAGUCUGCUUCCGAAACUGCUGUGCUUGAGUGUGGGAGAGGCGCGUGGAAUUGCAGGUGUAGCGGUGAAAUGCGUAGAUAUCUGCAGGAACACCCGUGGCGAAAGCGGCGCGCUGGACCACUACUGAUGCUGAGGAACGAAAGCUAGGGGAGCAAACAGGAUUAGAUACCCUGGUAGUCCUAGCCCUAAACGAUCAGGACUUGGGGUGCCGCCCGUUCGGGCGUCGUCCCGGAGCUAACGCGUUAAGUCCUGCACCUGGGGAGUACGGUCGCAAGACUGAAACUCAAAGGAAUUGACGGGGGCCC